rnacentral:rRNA from 1 species
AAUGGGUCAGCGACUUAUAUUCUGUAGCAAGGUUAACCGAAUAGGGGAGCCGAAGGGAAACCGAGUCUUAACUGGGCGUUAAGUUGCAGGGUAUAGACCCGAAACCCGGUGAUCUAGCCAUGGGCAGGUUGAAGGUUGGGUAACACUAACUGGAGGACCGAACCGACUAAUGUUGAAAAAUUAGCGGAUGACUUGUGGCUGGGGGUGAAAGGCCAAUCAAACCGGGAGAUAGCUGGUUCUCCCCGAAAGCUAUUUAGGUAGCGCCUCGUGAAUUCAUCUCCGGGGGUAGAGCACUGUUUCGGCAAGGGGGUCAUCCCGACUUACCAACCCGAUGCAAACUGCGAAUACCGGAGAAUGUUAUCACGGGAGACACACGGCGGGUGCUAACGUCCGUCGUGAAGAGGGAAACAACCCAGACCGCCAGCUAAGGUCCCAAAGUCAUGGUUAAGUGGGAAACGAUGUGGGAAGGCCCAGACAGCCAGGAUGUUGGCUUAGAAGCAGCCAUCAUUUAAAGAAAGCGUAAUAGCUCACUGGUCGAGUCGGCCUGCGCGGAAGAUGUAACGGGGCUAAACCAUGCACCGAAGCUGCGGCAGCGACGCUGAUGCGUUGUUGGGUAGGGGAGCGUUCUGUAAGCCUGUGAAGGUGUGCUGUGAGGCAUGCUGGAGGUAUCAGAAGUGCGAAUGCUGACAUAAGUAACGAUAAAGCGGGUGAAAAGCCCGCUCGCCGGAAGACCAAGGGUUCCUGUCCAACGUUAAUCGGGGCAGGGU